GUGUCAGCCGCCGCGGUAAUACGGAGGGGGCGAGCGUUGUCCGAAGUUACUGGGCGUAAAGCGCGUGUAGGCGGGUUGUCAAGUCCGCUGUGAAAGCCCGAGGCUCAACCUCGGAGGGUCGGUGGAUACUGACAGUCUUGAAGGUGCUAGGGGGAGAUGGAAUUACCGGUGUAGCGGUGAAAUGCGUAGAGAUCGGUAGGAACACCAGUGGCGAAGGCGGUCUCCUGGGGCAUUCUUGACGCUGAGACGCGAAAGCUGGGGGAGCAAACGGGAUUAGAUACCCCUGUAGUCC
rnacentral:rRNA from 1 species